CCUUCAGCCCCAUAGAGGAAGUCCCCAGAGGAUGGAUGGUUCUGGAAGUUACGGGUUACCAGGACAACGCAUCCCCUCAGCCUGGCCACGCCCCCCGGGCUCCCGCUCACUGGUUGCAAAACUCAGCUUUGCCCCUGCACGGAGUUUCCCUUCGCGGGGCCCGCUGGGGAAGCAUCCGCGGCUUGUGGUGGCUGUGGUUUUGUGCCCAGGACUCACACGUAAAAGGAGCUCAUUCGGAGGCAGGGGCACGCGCUUGUCCCCAGAACUCAAACCCCAGAGUCCCUCCGGCAGAUGAGAGUGGAGGUUGUAAAUCACCCUCCAUGCAAUGGUUCAUCAUAAAGGAUAUGGAGCAAAAUUAGAGGAGGCACGAGAAGGAAAGCCGGUGAUGAACAAGGAAAGUGCCUGGUUGAAGCUAGCUUGCAAUCCCAAAGUCAGAAGGUUGCCUGGGAAGCCAUGAAACAAAGCCAAAUCAAGGCAAAGCAGACACAUGGAGAUUUUGAGACUGAGAAGAGGAAAACUGAGGACAUUCAUGUGAGAUGGUUUCAAGUUUCCCUUAGAAGGAGAAGUUAUCUUCAGAAGGUCAGGUUGGUGAGGUGGGAGUUCAAAAACAACAAAGUAUGUAGCUACCAUUGUGAGGAAGACCAUGGAAAAUGGACGAAUCAGAAUGAAAGGCUUUCUGAACAAGAGGGAGUUUCCCUGCACAAGCUCCCUCCUGCCUGCUGCCAUGUGAGACCUGCGUUUUGCCUUCCACCAUGACUGUGAGGCCUCUUCCCCGGCCAUGUGGAACUCCCAGAGACAGAAGCAGAUAAUGCAAGUGUCAUCUACAUCUGGCAAAAGCCAAAGGUUUGGAAGAUGGAAAAAGGAAUCCAGGCAAAAAGGAGCCCAAGAUUGAAGUGAAUGACCAGGUGCACCAGUUCAAAUGCAAUCAGGAGGGACAGGGGUAGAGGGAGAAGCCUAGAGCAGCGCUUCUCAAACUGACUAUUCAAGUCACCUGGAGAUCUUGGUGAAAUGCAGACUCUGGUGCAGUAGGUCCUGGCGGGAACUUGAAAUUCUGCAUUUUGACCAAGGUCCAAGGUGAAUGUCCAGUGCUGUUGUCCUUGGCCUGCAGCAGGAGGAGCAGGGAUCUAAGACUUGGAGAGCAAAUGUCAAGCUCAGAAGAAAGACUGGAAGUUUGGGGACAAAACCCAAAUAUGGCUAAAGAAAGCCUGUAGGUAAGCUUUGAGUUGUAUUUUCCAUCGCAUCUGAAGCUGUGCUGGCCAACAUGGUAGUCACUGGCCCUGUGUGGCUAUGGGCUAGUCCUAAUGGACAUGUGCUCUAACAUGUAAAAUACACACUGGAUUUUCAAUACUUGGUACCAAGAAAAUAAUGUAAAAUAUCUCAAUACUUUAAAAACAUUAUUGCAUGUUGAAAUAAUAUUUUAGAUAUAUUGGGCUAAAUAAAAUAUACCCAUAUUACUGAAA
ensembl:lncRNA LINC00877 long intergenic non-protein coding RNA 877